AAGAUUUUAAUGGUCGAACAGACCAAAAAUUUUAAUUUUUCCUUUUAAAUUUAAUCUUAAUUCAACAUCGAGGUAAUAAUCUUUUUUAUCAAUAUGAUCUCUCCAAAAAAAUUAUU
rnacentral:rRNA from 1 species